UACAUAGGGGGCGAGCGUUAUCCGGAAUUAUUGGGCGUAAAGCGUGCGUAGGCGGUUUGUUAAGUUCGAUGUAAAAUCCCACAGCUUAACUGUGGAGGGUCAUUGGAAACUGGCAAGCUAGAGUACGGUAGAGGUAAGUGGAAUUCCAAGUGGAGCGGUGGAAUGCGUAGAUAUUUGGAGGAACACCAGUGGCGAAGGCGGCUUACUGGGCCGGAACUGACGCUGAGGCACGAAAGCGUGGGGAGCAAACAGGAUUAGAAACCCUAGUAGUCC
rnacentral:rRNA from 1 species